AUUUCAAAAAACCAAUACCACUGUGAUGAAUAUGGCAUCUGCAGAAUUGGAGGCAAGGAUAACUUCUUCCAUUGCAAGAGAUGUGAGGGGAGAUACAGCGGAUCAAAGCAGCAAAUCCUCAGAUCCCACAUCGAGAAGCUUUCAGUGCUGCAACAAAAAAUGUAAAUCUUUUCACCUCAUUUUUUAUAUAUAGGUUUUUAGGGUUAGCACUUAGCACUG